UGCUAUGAGAAAAUCUCCCAUGGAUCUUUCUAGUAGCGAUUUCAAUUUGAUCGUCUUCAAAUCUUCGAUCUUCGAUCAGAAGUUCAUGCCGUUCGUGUUCCCGAUUUGCCGAUGAAAUCACAAAGUCCACGAUUCUCCAGACUUUUGCCGUGGCUUCCGCCUUCUUACCCUAUUUCUAUUUCGUGUUUUCCCCUUUCACACCUUAUUGUUUCAUUCGACCACUCCUUCUGACCGAUCAACACUCGACCCAUAACCAAAUACCUCCUUCUGCCUUAACUUGGCUCACUUGAUUGAAAGCUUCUUCAAAGAACGAACCACCAUUCGAGUGAGAUAAUUAGGGUUUUAGAACAUAAAAGAAAAAAGAACUUCAUGAGCUAGCUGUAUACGGAAGAGAAGAGGGAAGUUCUUAGCAGUUACUACUGAGAGAGCUGAAAUAUUCAUAGUACGUUUCUUCUGUGAUACCGAAUGGGUGCGGACUCUAUGAUGGAUAUGGAUAAACAAGUAUUGGCGGCUCCAAUGAAAUCGGUAGUGGACAAAUUCCAACUUCUUCCUGAAUUUCUAAAGGGGAGAGGUUUGGUGAAGCAGCACUUGGACUCAUAUAACUACUUUGUCAAGAUUGGAAUAAAAAAGAUCAUUCGUGCAAAUGAGAAGAUUGUGUCAAAAGUAGAUCCUAAUGUCUGUCUUAGGUACAAAGAUAUCUGGAUUGGUGAACCUAUUUUAAACGUCGAUGGAGUGACAACUAAGCUUAGUCCACAAAAUUGUCGACUUUCUGAUAUGACGUACUCAGCUCCAAUAUAUGCCAGUUUUGAGUACUCUAAUGGAAGUUAUGACCCAUUUCCGUCUUCUGUAAUGAAGCCUUUAACCAAGAUCAUAGGAAGAAUGCCCAUCAUGUUGAGGAGUAGUUGCUGUGUAUUAUAUGGAAAAGAUGAAGCUGAACUUGCAAAACUAGGCGAAUGUCCACUUGAUCCCGGAGGAUAUUUCGUUAUAAAGGGAACCGAGAAGGUGCUUUUAAUUCAAGAGCAAUUGUCAAAGAACAGAAUAAUCAUAGAUACUGACAGAAAAGCAUGUAUUCAAGCAUCAGUUACAUGCAACACUGAAUUAACAAAAAGUAAAACAAUUAUAAAGAUGGAGAACGAGAAGAUAUAUUUAAAUCUCAAUCAAUUCUCUACCAAGGUCCCUAUCAUGGUGGUAAUGAAAGCCAUGGGUAUGCUGAGUGAUCAAGAAGUCAUACAAAUGAUUGGUAGAGAUCCUCGUUAUGGUGCCCUACUUUUACCCUCCAUUGAGGAAUGUGCAAGCAAUAAUAUAUACACCCAACAUCAAGCCUUGAAUUUCCUUGAGAAGAAGGUUCCUCGAAAAGGAUUAUCUUCUGACAGCUCUGUAAAGGAAGGCAAAGCACUUAGAUUACUGCGAGAUCUAUUUCUUGCCCAUGUCCCUGUGCAUGGAGAUGAUUUUCGUGCAAAGUGCAUAUAUGUCGCAGUAAUGUUGCGACGCAUGAUGGAUGCAAUUUUGAAUGAGGAUGCAAUGGAUGACAAGGACUAUGUAGGGAAUAAACGGUUAGAAUUGUCGGGACAAUUAUUAUCCCUACUAUUUGAGGACUUAUUCAAGACAAUGAACGAGGAAACAAUUAAGCAUGUGGAUAUCAUCCUAGGAAAGGCCAGCCGGUCUAGCAGGUUUGAUAUUUCUCAACACAUUGUAACAGAUAGCAUUACAAAUGGGCUUGAAAGGACUCUUUCCACUGGUAAUUUUGAUGUCAAAAGGUUCAGGAUGCACAGGAAAGGAAUGACACAGGUUGUUGCAAGACUAUCUUUUAUAGGGACGGUAGGUCACAUGACAAAAGUCUCACCACAAUUUGAGAAAUCAAGAAAAGUUAGUGGACCUAGAGCAUUGCAACCGAGUCAGUGGGGUAUGCUUUGCCCUUGUGAUACCCCUGAAGGUGAAGCUUGUGGAUUAGUGAAAAAUCUUGCGUUGAUGACCCAUGUUACAACUGAUGACGAGGAAGGCCCUAUAGCAUCAUUGUGCUAUUAUUUGGGAGUUGAAGACAUUAAAAGGCUCUCUAGUGAAGAACUGCAUGCACAAAACUCCUUUAUAGUUGUAUUAAAUGGGCUUAUUCUUGGCAAGCAUAACAGGCCACAGAUCUUUGCCAAGGUAUUGAGAGGGCUGAGAAGAGCUGGUAAACUUGGGGAGUUUGUUAGUGUAUUUGUUAAUGAGAAACAAUGUUGUGUUUACUUGGCUUCGGAUGGAGGUCGUGUAUGUCGUCCACUUGUGAUUGCUGACAAGGGUAUAUCGAGAAUUAAGGAACACCAUAUGAAGGAGUUAAUAGAUGGAGUUCGUACUUUUGAUGAUUUUCUAUGCGAUGGUUUGAUAGAGUAUCUUGAUGUCAAUGAGGAGAACAAUUCACUGAUUGCUUUAUAUGAAGGUGAAGCUACAACAGAAACAACACAUAUUGAAAUAGAGCCUUUCACCAUUUUAGGUGUUUGUGCUGGUCUAAUUCCGUUUCCUCAUCAUAAUCAGUCACCAAGGAAUACAUAUCAGUGUGCUAUGGGGAAGCAAGCUAUGGGCAACAUAGCAUAUAAUCAGUUAUGUCGGAUGGAUACAUUAAUAUACCUUUUAGUCUAUCCUCAGAGGCCUUUGCUGACUACAAAAACAAUUGAACUUGUUGGAUAUGAUAAACUUGGAGCUGGGCAGAAUGCAACUGUUGCGGUAAUGAGUUACAGUGGCUAUGACAUUGAGGAUGCAAUAGUUAUGAAUAAAUCAUCUUUGGAUCGUGGUUUUGGCCGUUGCAUUGUUAUGAAAAAGUAUUCUGCUCUAUGCCAAAAAUAUGAGAAUAACUCACAAGACAGAAUAAUUAGACCCCAAAGAGAGGGACAUGAUGCUGAUAAAAUGACGAUACUUGAUGAUGACGGACUUGCUGCUCCUGGAGAAAUAAUUAGGCCAGGUGACAUCUACAUCAAUAAACAGACCCCUCUUGUUACAAUGGGGCCACCUGUAACAUCUUCAUUGGAUGACAGAGGAUAUAAACGCAGCAUACAAACUUACAAAGGUCCAGCAGGAGAAACUCCAGUGGUUGACCGGGUUUCUUUAUGUUCAGAUAGGAACAAUAAUAUGUCUUUGAAAUUUAUGGUCCGGCACACUCGUAGGCCAGAGCUUGGUGAUAAAUUUAGUAGCAGACAUGGGCAGAAAGGAGUUUGUGGUAUUAUCGUUCAGCAGGAAGAUUUUCCUUUCUCUGAACGUGGCAUUUGUCCUGACUUGAUUAUGAAUCCUCAUGGAUUUCCCAGCCGAAUGACAGUUGGGAAGAUGAUAGAGCUCCUUGGGAGUAAAGCUGGAGUUUCCUGUGGUAGAUUUCAUUAUGGAAGUGCAUUUGGGGAACCAAGUGGUCAUGCUGACACAGUUGAGGCCAUUAGUGAAACACUGGUGAAGCAUGGGUUCAACUACAAUGGCAAAGACUUUAUCUACUCAGGUCUAACGGGUUUUCCACUUCAAGCAUAUAUAUUCAUGGGUCCAAUUUAUUACCAAAAGUUGAAACACAUGGUCCUGGACAAAAUGCAUGCCCGAGGUUCUGGACCUCGUGUGAUGAUCACUAGGCAACCUACUGAAGGAAGAAGUCGAAAUGGAGGACUAAGGGUGGGAGAAAUGGAACGUGAUUGCUUGAUUGCUUAUGGAACUAGCAUGUUGUUAUACGAACGCUUGAUGCUCUCUAGCGAUCCAUUCGAAGUUCAGGUUUGUCAGAAGUGCGGUUUGCUUGGAUACUACAAUUAUAAACUCAAAAUAAAUGUUUGUUCAACAUGUAAGACUGGAGAAAACGUUUGUUCUAUGAAACUUCCAUAUGCAUGCAAGCUUUUAUUCCAGGAACUUCAAUCGAUGAACAUUGUUCCCCGUUUGAAGCUUAAGGAGGCGUCUUGAUUUUUUUUCUUUUAUAACACCCCCUUCAGAUGUGCAUAUUUUUUUUAUUAUAGAUCUAUGUUAUUGCUGCUAAUGAAACAUCUGAAGAAAACAUUAUCCUUGAUACCCCAAUAAAGUUCUACUAGAAGACAAUGACAAAAUGGAUGCUGCAGAUGUUUUUUAGAAGAAACAAAUAUGACUUCAGUUUUAUAAUUUGAUUUGUUUUCUU